GCAGCAGCCUCCCAGGGAAGAGAAGAAGAGGAAUUCGUUUACGGUGAAUUCAAUUUCCCGUAACUUCCUCGUUUGAGCUCCGAUCGCCGCACCGUUUGUGGCCACGCGUUCACCGCGUUGAGCUCUACAUUUCUACCGGAACAAUUUCAUAGGAUCCAAUUAGCUUGAGGAAAACGUUUACUCUUGCUUAUGUGAAGUUUGGGUAAAGUUGAAAAUAGAUAAUUGGAGCUUGAAAUUGUGAAUACUGGAACUUGGAGGAAGCGGAUUAGUUGAGGUUUUGAGGGCUGUGUUCUUUUAGGAAAAUUUUCUUGGAAUAACACUUGGGAAUCGGCUAAGAUGCAGGUCGAGAGGCAUCUCGUUAGGUGUCUGGACUCUUGAAGCGGAGUGGUUACUGGGUUUUUUUU